UGGGGAAUAUUGGACAAUGGGCGAAAGCCUGAUCCAGCCAUGCCGCGUGUGUGAAGAAGGUCUUCGGAUUGUAAAGCACUUUAAGUUGGGAGGAAGGGCAGUAAAUUAAUACUUUGCUGUUUUGACGUUACCGACAGAAUAAGCACCGGCUAACUCUGUGCCAGCAGCCGCGGUAAUACAGAGGGUGCAAGCGUUAAUCGGAAUUACUGGGCGUAAAGCGCGCGUAGGUGGUUCGUUAAGUUGGAUGUGAAAUCCCCGGGCUCAACCUGGGAACUGCAUUCAAAACUGACGAGCUANAGUAUGGUAGAGGGUGGUGGAAUUUCCUGUGUAGCGGUGAAAUGCGUAGAUAUAGGAAGGAACACCAGUGGCGAAGGCGACCACCUGGACUGAUACUGACACUGAGGUGCGGAAGCGUGGGGAGCAAACAGGAUUAGAUAGCCCUGGUA
rnacentral:rRNA from 1 species